CCAACCUGGAGACAGACAGGGAGCAGUUUUUGAAAGAAAUUAGCUCUGUUUUUCUAUUCCUGGAUAACCCCCUUUAAAGAUUCUCUGCCCAACAUCUCGACAUGCACUGUUAGGGUCUAUUCACAUGGCAGAAUUUCCGCAUGCAGAAUUCCGCAUCAAAUUAAAGCCCAUAGACUUCUAUGGGAUCCCGCACUCCCAUUCACACUUCUGAAUUUCCGCGCAAUGCGAGUGCGGAAUCCCAUAGAAGUCUAUGGGCUUAAAUUUGAGGCGGAAAUUCUGCCGUGUGAAUAGAUCCUUAUUCUUCCACUGUCAGCAGAAAAAGUUAUUUCUUGACCUGGAGUCCAAUUUUCUAUCCAUUUGGUCUUUUUCCCAUUAGCUUUUUUCAAAAAGAGUUGGGACAAUAUUUGUCCAGGGCCUUUUAUCUAUGCAGCUGGCAAGGGCAUAUAUAGAAUAGAGGCAGACCGUGCAACUGCUAUGGUGCCCCUUAAGAUAAGGAGCCCUGGUUUGGUUGGUUCCAUCUAAUUUGCUACUGGGUGGCAAAAACCUUUGCACCUGUGUAAGAGUCCCAUUUUAAAUGUUGUUUUAGGACCUCCUCUCUUUUAUGUAUGCCACAAAGCAGAUGAAGAGAUUUACUGAAGUAAUACUAUCCCCCCCCCCCCCCCCCCUACCCACUGCAGCAUAGCCACGCCCCAUGGAGAUCAUGUGACUUAUUGAGAAUAUUGUCUCUGGCCGCACUGAAUACUGAGAAAAGUCAAAGGCAACAUAAAAUAAAAAGACUUGCACUACAGCACUUCUCUGUGUGGGCCCUGUGCAUAAAAACAGGACAAAGCGGCGCACCGAGGUAAUAGAAGCGUAUUUACGCAGUAUUAUAACUUGGCAUCAUGGACUCAAAGGCUUAAAAGGAAAAAAAAUCCUGGAAUACCCCUUUAAGUCCCCCAUUCACAUGGCAGAAUUUCUGAGCAGAAUCCUGUUGAAAAACUAAGCUCUGAAAUUCCGUUGCAGCAGAGUCCCAUUGUUUUCAAGGGGAUCCUGUUGCACUGUGCACAUGGCAGAAUUUCAUUGGCAGAAACACCUGACGUGGAAAUUCAAUUUUUGCACACCACAGAAAAAUGUACAUGCCAGCUCUGAUGCCAACACUGCUUUACGUAAUUUGACAGAAGCCUUCACCGGGUCCUGUGCAAUACCACAUUCCCCCUCCCCCCCUCAGAUUCUUCUUCUUUGGGCAACUGGAAUUCUCACAAUCAUGUGUUGGCCAGAAGGGGAUUUAUUUGUUAAAUUUGGGUGUCCAGGCUCAGAAAAGGGUCUUUUCCUUUUUUUUUUUUUUUUUUUUUUUUUUUUACAAAAAAAACACUCCACCUUUGGCCAUAGAUAGUGUCUUCUAUUGUAGCUGUGACCAAUUUACUUAUAAGGAAACCUGUCACCAUGAAAAUCAAUCUCCAUCAUGUUAUAGAGCAGGAGGAGCUGAACAGAUUGAUAUAUAUAUCUUGAUUGAAAUAUCUGCUAUCUCUAUGCUUGGGAGAGAUCGGAUCAUUGAGUGGUACCGCCCACUGGACUCCUAAGGAUUUAUAUAGUAGGGAUUUUAAUCAAUAAGUUAGAAGUUAAAUUGAAUCUUUUCCCACAAAGAUAGAUAUCAAUCUGCUCAGCUCCACCUGCUCUAUAACAUGAUACAGAGAUUAGAUAACAUUUUCAUGGUGACAAAUUCCCUUUAAAAAAAACGAAAAAAAAAAUAAAAAAAACAGUCCUGUCCUGUUCCCUGAGAUAAUAGGAGCUGGUUAUUGUACCUUUUGCUAUCGUACUCGGCACCUUGGAGAAUAUCCAUAUUUUUAAAAAACCUUAGAACACACUGUGGCAUGAGCAUAGCUGCACUUUAUAGAACAAUGCUGUCUAUUAGAAUGUUUUACUUUUAUGUUUUUAUUUUCUUUUAUAUCAUGUUUUAUAUAAAAUACUGUGAGGUGAAUAGUUCAGGAGCCAGUGGAUAAAAUGGUCUUUACCGCUGCCUUUCAUGAUGUUAUAUCUGGAUUCGUUGUUAUCAUUUUCAACUAUCAUUUACCAUUCAUCUACUUAAAGCAUAACUCCACCCGAUAAUUCUAAAGGGGUUAUCCAGGAUUGGAAAAACAGAGCUUAUUUCUUCAAAAAAUAGCACUACACCUGUCCUCAGGUUGUGUGUGGUAUUGCAGCUCAGUUCCAUUGAAGUCAAUAGAGUCAAGUUGUAAUACCACAAACAACCUGAGGACAGUUUGAGGAAAAUGUUUUUGGAAGCAAUUAGCUCUGUUCUUUCUAUUUCUGGUAUUUAAAGGGGUACUCCGCUGCUCAACGUUUGGAACAAACUGUUCCGAACGCUGGCGCCGGCAGCUCGUGAUGUCAUAGCCCCGCCGAUCAUGAGCCGUCACGCCCCCUCCCAUAGACUUGCAUUGAGGGGGCGGGGUGUGACAUCAUGAGGAGGUGGGGUUAUGACGUCACAAGCUCCCGGUGCCGGCUCCAGCAAAUGCUGAGCAGCAGAGUACCCCUUUAAGAGUCAGGUACCUUUGGGAGCUCCUGUUGAUGUAGCUAUGUAGAGCACAGUACUUGAUACUUGUUGAUAAGAGGUCCUUUGGGGCAGAAGAUCCAGAAUCAGAUUUGUUGUUGGAGUUUUACUUUUUACCAUUGAUCGUUUUUAUCAACCUUACGGAUUGACCUGCUGAGCUGUUGUGAAUGCAUCUAUUUAUAUAGAGCUUAGCUUGAGUCAUUUUACUAUGCAUCACUGCCAAAAUCAAAAUGGGUCCUCCUCUGAUCUCUGCCGGUCACCUGCUGAUUGUUGACACCUUCCUAUCCUCCACCACUUUAUUUAGGAAAGAAACAUGAAGUUUCCCCUCAACCUGAUACUCCUUUAUUGUUCCAUAUAUUGUGGUUUGGGGAAGCACAAGGGUAAAAGAUCACAAUACCUUUGAGGAAGGGAAAUUGGGUCAAUGAAAAUUUUAAAUGCUAUAGAAGAAGUGUUUUUUGUGUGCACUAAGCGUCCAAUAAUCCAAAAAGAAUCAAUGAUCCUUAAAGGAACACACAGGGCAAAGCUGAUACACUGUGUAAUGCCUAAAAUUGGGCCUAAGGGGUGGAGCAUGACACAGGGACUUAUAAAGCACCAAAGAGAGAAUCCAUGUGCCAUGGUCUGCCCCUUUAGUCUGCACGCUAAGAAAUACAUGGUGGCCCAAAUUUACUGUGCCCUGUUGAACCACAAGUGCCAAAAUUGUUAAGGGGGGGUGUGUCAUGGUAUAAAAGCACUGCAUUGCCUUUGCCUAAAGUACACCAGGAUGGUCUAAACCAAAGUUUCCUAACCAGGGUGCCUCCGGCUGUUGCAAAACUACAACUCCCAUCAUGCCUGGGAGUUGUAGUUUUGCAACAGCUGGAGGCACCCAGGUUUGGAAACACUGGUAAACGUUCAAACUCAUGAUAGAUAGCCUAUAGAUGCGCCAAACUUAUCAAACAGCCUGAGCCACUGUGAAAGAUGUGGCGCAUCUGAAGUCUGUCCGUCUUAGUCUGACGCUCUUAGUAACCGUGUAUGUGUUUCGUCUGGAGUGUCCCUUUAAGUAGAACAGUCCUAACAGGUCAAUGUGUAGUGUUUAAUAGAUUUUUGUUAUUAGGUCAGUGUUGCCUUGCAAGGAUAAUUCAUACAAAAUCCCUGAACUAAAAAGUAUACAACCCCCUCCCUAUACACAACAUUUUAUUUUUAGCAGGAAACGGCUGUUAAUAAACGUCAUGAUCUGGUGCAAAUGGCCCUGAUGUAAUGCAAAAAAAAAAUUUAGAUAUAGGCCUUGAUAUUGGUUAGUUUGAGUGAACGGUCCCAUUGGUUAACCUGCAUGUUCUUAUAGCCAACAUUUCCUUUUGGUUAAUCACAUGUGAAGUGGAAGUGGUUAAUAAGUGAACGGGGAUUUCCAAGAACAGCACUUUACAAAUGGUGGAAGUGGUUGUUUUACAGCAAAUAUGGAAAGUGUGGCACUUCUUAUUCAUUGAACUUUAUUGUCCCUCUGAAAUUAUGGAUGAACGUGUCGUGCCCUAUUCUGAAUCCAGUGGCACCGGGUCAUGUGGAGAGGAAGCGGGCCACGGGAAGAAGUGUGGCAGGAAUAACCUCAAUACUGUAAGAAUUUGCCCGAAACAAAACUAUUGUUCAAACAAAACCACGUGGAAAUGUGACCGUAAUAAAAAGAGGUUUUUGCUCUUUG